rnacentral:rRNA from 1 species
GACGAACGCUGGCGGCGUGCCUAACACAUGCAAGUCGAGCGGAGUCGAUCGACGGAAGCCUUCGGGCGGAAGAUGGUUGACUUAGCGGCGGAUGGGUGAGUAACGCGUGGGCAACCUGCCUCGAAGACCGGGAUAACAGCCCGAAAGGGCUGCUAAUACCGGAUGUGGUCAAGGAUCCGCAUGGAUUUUGAUUAAAGGGGAAACCCGUUUCGAGAUGGGCCCGCGUCCUAUCAGCUAGUUGGUGAGGUAAAAGCUCACCAAGGCGACGACGGGUAGCCGGCCUGAGAGGGUGACCGGCCACACUGGAACUGAGACACGGUCCAGACUCCUACGGGGGGCAGCAGUGGGGAAUCUUCCACAAUGGGCGAAAGCCUGAUGGAGCGACGCCGCGUGAGCGAAGAAGGCCUUCGGGUUGUAAAGCUCUGUCUGGAGGGACGAAGGAAGUGACGGUACCUCCGGAGGAAGCCACGGCUAACUACAUG